rnacentral:RNase_P_RNA from 1 species
AAAUGGUGCGGUAAGAGCGCACCGCGUGACUGGUAACAGGAGCGGCAUGGUAAACCCUACCUGGAGCAAGAUCAAAUAGAGGAGCAGACGCGCGGCCCGCGCGGCUCCUGGGUAGAUCGCUUGAGCCAUAAGGUGACUUAUGGCCUAGAUGAAUGACUGUCCUAGACAAAACCCGGCUUAUCGACCAACUCUAUCU